GAGUUUGAUCUUGGCUCAGGAUGAACGCCGGCGGUGUGCCUAAUACAUGCAAGUCGUACGCACUGGCCCAACUGAUUGAUGGUGCUUGCACCUGAUCGACGAUGGAUCACCAGUGAGUGGGCGGACGGUGAGUAACACGUAGGUAACCUGCCCUGUACAGGGGAUAACAAUCAGAAAUGACUGCUAAUACCGCAUAAGACCACAGCACCGCAUGGUGCAGGGGUAAAAACUCCGGUGGUACAGGAUGGACCCGCGUCUGAUUAGCUGGUUGGUGAGGUAACGGCUCACCAAGGCGACGAUCAGUAGCCGGCUUGAGAGAGUGAACGGCCACAUUGGGACUGAGACACGGCCCAAACUCCUACGGGAGGCAGCAGUGGGGAUAUUGCACAAUGGGGAAACCUGAUGCAGCAACGCCGCGUGAGUGAGGAAGUAUUUCGGUAUGUAAAGCUCUAUCAGCAGGGAAGAAAGUGACGGUACCUGACUAAGAAGCCCCGGCUAACUAC
rnacentral:rRNA from 1 species